rnacentral:rRNA from 1 species
CCAAUAGCGUAUAUUAAAGUUGUUGCAGUUAAAAAGCUCGUAGUUGGAUAUCUGCUGGGAGCAAUCAGUCCGCCCUUUUUAUAGGGGUGUGCACUUGAUGAAUUCUGGCAUGUUUUUAUCUUUCCUAAUGAUUAUUAUUAGGUUAAUUCCUAGUAAUAAUUAGUAUUGGGAUAGAUAGACCGUUACUUUGAGAAAAUUAGAGUGUUUAAUGCAGGCUGUAUUAUGCCUUGAAUACUGCAGCAUGGAAUAACAAUAUAGGAUUUCGGUUCUAUUUUGUUGGUUUUUAGGACUGGAAUAAUGGUUAAUAGGGACAGUUGGGGGCAUUCGUAUUUAACUGUCAGAGGUGAAAUUCUUAGAUUUGUUAAAGACGAACUAAUGCGAAAGCAUUUGCCAAAGAUGUUUUCAUUAAUCAAGAACGAAAGUUAGGGGCUCG